rnacentral:misc_RNA from 1 species
CCUAUCCUGCCCUACCUCUGUCUUACUUACAAAAACGUUUUUGUAACUUCCUUGUAGUAGAAUCCUAGGAAACUCAUGUAUUGAGCAACCUUUGUAAUACCUACCGGGAAUUACAUCUCCAAAACCCUUAUACAAAACUUACAAAAUUUAUAAAGUUUUGAAGUAAGUUCUUCAAAUCUCUCUACAAAAUUACAAAUUUCUUUUGAAU